rnacentral:rRNA from 1 species
GUGAGGAAUAUUGGUCAAUGGACGCAAGUCUGAACCAGCCAUGCCGCGUGCAGGAUGAAGGUGCUAUGCAUUGUAAACUGCUUUUGUACGAGGGUAAAUGCAGGUACGUGUACCUGUUUGAAAGUAUCGUACGAAUAAGGGUCGGCUAACUCCGUGCCAGCAGCCGCGGUAAUACGGAGGACCCGAGCGUUAUCCGGAUUUAUUGGGUUUAAAGGGUGCGUAGGCGGAUUAGUAAGUUAGAGGUGAAAGCUCGAUGCUCAACAUCGAAAUUGCCUCUGAUACUGUUAGUCUAGAGUAUAGUUGCGGAAGGCGGAAUGUGUGGUGUAGCGGUGAAAUGCUUAGAUAUCACACAGAACACCGAUUGCGAAGGCAGCUUUCCAAGCUAUUACUGACGCUGAUGCACGAAAGCGUGGGGAGCGAACAGGA